rnacentral:rRNA from 1 species
GACGAACGCUGGCGGCGUGCUUAACACAUGCAAGUCGAACGGAAAGGCCCUGCUUUUGUGGGGUGCUCGAGUGGCGAACGGGUGAGUAACACGGGAGUAACCUGCCCUUGACUUUGGGGUAACUUCAGGAAACUGGGGCUAAUACCGGAUAGGAGCUCCUGCUGCAUGGGGGGGGUUGGAAAGUUUCGGCGGUUGGGGAUGGACUCGCGGCUUAUCAGCUUGUUGGUGGGGUAGUGGCUUACCAAGGCUUUGACGGGUAGCCGGCCUGAGAGGGUGACCGGCCACAUUGGGACUGAGAUACGGCCCAGACUCCUACGGGAGGCAGCAGUGGGGAAUAUUGCACAAUGGGCGGAAGCCUGAUGCAGCAACGCCGCGUGCGGGAUGACGGCCUUCGGGUUGUAAACCGCUUUCGCCUGUGACGAAGCGUGAGUGACGGUAAUGGGUAAAGAAGCACCGGCUAACUACGUG